rnacentral:rRNA from 1 species
GUAGGGUGCAGGCGUUAAUCGGAAUUACUGGGCGUAAAGCGUGCGCAGGCGGUUUGUUAAGACAGGUGUGAAAUCCCCGGGCUUAACCUGGGAACUGCGCUUGUUACUGGCAGACUUGAGUGUGGCAGAGGGGGGUGGAAUUCCACGUGUAGCAGUGAAAUGCGUAGAGAUGUGGAGGAACACCGAUGGCGAAGGCAGCCCCCUGGGUUAACACUGACGCUCAUGCACGAAAGCGUGGGGAGCAAACAGGAUUAGAUACCCUGGUAGUCCACGCCCUAAACUAUGUCAACUGGUUGUCGGGGAAGCAAUUCCUUGGUAACGAAGCUAACGCGUGAAGUUGACCGCCUGGGGAGUACGGCCGCAAGGUUAAA